UACGAAGGGGGCGAGCGUUGUUCGGAAUUACUGGGCGUAAAGGGCGCGCAGGCGGCUCUGAAAGUCAGAUGUGAAAGCCCCGGGCUUAACCUGGGAACUGCAUUUGAUACUCUGGAGCUUGAGUACGGGAGAGGAUAGUGGGAAUUCCCAGUGUAGAGGUGAAAUUCGUAGAUAUUGGGAAGAACACCGGUGGCGAAGGCGGCUAUCUGGACCGUAACUGGACGCUGAGGCGCGA
rnacentral:rRNA from 1 species